GUGUUUUUGCAGGAACCAUUCUUCUGCUUCCUUUCCUUUUGUCACCCUGUAUGUCAGAUAUACAUAGAUUUUGUCUUGUUGUUUAGUUGAAAAUUAUAUUUUCCAUUGGUUUGAGGAUGCAACAAAUUGAUUUAAAGCCGAAACUGAACCAACUAAUCCAGUAACUUAAAGUAUGUUGUAAAGUAAGUUGUAUUUUGCAUUUGGAUAAUUGUGUUUAUUUUGUUGGCAGGGAGCAGAUGAUUAAUGAAGACACAUGGGGCUGGGCUCAUCUGUGAUAUAUUCAGCGCCAGUAUCCUGGAGCCAAGUGACUCUUUCCAUCACUGCUCUGAGUCUCUGAUGCUCUCAGACUGAUUACACUCCUGUUUCUCUCAGGAGCGCCUGUUCAGUCUGUCAGGAUGAAAACACGAUGAGAUGUUUCUGGAUUGAGGUCACAUAUAAGGAUGUAACUGAAGCUCUGCGUUCUUGUGCUGCUCUUUCUAGGAUCAGAAACGUAUGCCAAGACAUGACAGUAAAUCGAGACACAAUGAAAGCAGGAAUAUACUGUAUGAGACAACGUUCAGAAAAAUCUUUCAACUGAUGAUCAGAUCCAGAAUACAGUGUUUUCUCUAGAGGAUGCUUCACUCUCAUAUUCAUUUGCUGCUUCAUCUGUGUUUUUUCAGCGCUGAUAGAUAAAGCGUCUCUGGAUGUCACAGUAGAGGCUGUUUUCGGUGGUUCUGUUGUCCUGCCGUGUUCUUCAGCUGAACAUGAUCUUGAACUUCAAGACGUUGAUGUGCACUGGAGAGAAAAAUAUGACGACAUUGUGUAUAGUAUAAUUAAGGGUGAACAUUCAAUAGUAGGACAAGACUCACAAUACAAGAACAGAGUUGAAACUUUUUCUGAGGAGUGUGAACUUCUCCAUCAAACUCUCUGAUCUCACUCACGCUGAUGAGGGAAAAUACAUCUGCUACAUCACAAACCCAUCUGAUUCUCAACAGAAGACCGUCCAGCUGAUCAUCAACGAAUCAACAGCAGAAAAAGGAAACGAAUCCAGAAAUCAAGAAAACCAAGGAGAAGAUUUAGGAGCAGACAGUGAGGGGAAAUCAUUGCUCUGGGUUUGCAUUGUAGUACCUGUAUUACUGUUUGUAGUCAGUUUAAUCAUAUUUAUCUUGAGAAAAAAAUAAUAAAAAAUAAUAAUAAUAAAGAUCAAGCUUCCACAUGCUCUUCUGUCUCAACUGACAAACAAAUAACAUCCAUAAAUGACAAAUGAGUAUUAAAGUUUAUUUUUCACUUACUAUAACUUUUCUGAUUGUUUUGCCUUUAGCUGAAUUCUUAGAUCUUUAAUUGG